CCUACGGGUGGCUGCAGUGGGGAAUAUUGGACAAUGGGCGAAAGCCUGAUCCAGCCAUGCCGCGUGUGUGAAGAAGGCCUUCGGGUUGUAAAGCACUUUCAGUGGGGAAGAAAGCCUUGGGGCUAAUACCCUCGAGGAAGGACAUCACCCACAGAAGAAGCACCGGCUAACUCCGUGCCAGCAGCCGCGGUAAUACGGAGGGUGCGAGCGUUAAUCGGAAUUACUGGGCGUAAAGCGCGCGUAGGCGGUCUGAUAAGCCGGUUGUGAAAGCCCCGGGCUCAACCUGGGAACGGCAUCCGGAACUGUCAGGCUAGAGUGCAGGAGAGGAAGGUAGAAUUCCCGGUGUAGCGGUGAAAUGCGUAGAGAUCGGGAGGAAUACCAGUGGCGAAGGCGGCCUUCUGGACUGACACUGGCGCUGAGGUGCGAAAGCGUGGGUAGCAAACAGGAUUAGAUACCCUGGUAGUC
rnacentral:rRNA from 1 species